rnacentral:tRNA from 1 species
GGGGAAUUAGCUCAGCUGGGAGAGCGUCACGUUUGCACCGUGAAGGUCAGGAGUUCGAUCCUCCUAUUCUCCACCA